rnacentral:rRNA from 1 species
UGGGGAAUAUUGCGCAAUGGGCGAAAGCCUGACGCAGCGACGCCGCGUGAGGGAUGAAGGUUUUCGGAUCGUAAACCUCUGUCAGAAGGGAAGAAACCGCACUGUGCUAAUCAGCAGUGCCUUGACGGUACCUUCAAAGGAAGCACCGGCUAACACCGUGCCAGCAGCCGCGGUAAUACGGAGGGUGCAAGCGUUAAUCGGAAUUACUGGGCGUAAAGCGCACGUAGGCUGCUUUGUAAGUCAGGGGUGAAAUCCCACGGCUCAACCGUGGAACUGCCUUUGAUACUGCUUAGCUUGAAUCCGGGAGAGGGUGGCGGAAUUCCAGGUGUAGGAGUGAAAUCCGUAGAUAUCUGGAGGAACAUCAGUGGCGAAGGCGGCCACCUGGACCGGUAUUGACGCUGAGGUGCGAAAGCGUGGGGAGCAAACAGG